rnacentral:rRNA from 1 species
AACGAACGCUGGCGGCAUGCUUUACACAUGCAAGUCGAACGGUAACAGGCCGCAAGGUGCUGACGAGUGGCGAACGGGUGAGUAAUGCAUCGGAACGUGCCCAGUCGUGGGGGAUAACUGCUCGAAAGAGCAGCCAAUACCGCAUACGAUCUAUAGAUGAAAGCGGGGGACCGUAAGGCCUCGCGCGAUUGGAGCGGCCGAUGUCAGAUUAGGUAGUUGGUGGGGUAAAGGCUCACCAAGCCAACGAUCUGUAGCUGGUCUGAGAGGACGACCAGCCACACUGAGACUGAGACACGGCCCAGACUCCUACGGGAGGCAGCAGUGGGGAAUUUUGGACAAUGGGGGCAACCCUGAUCCAGCAAUGCCGCGUGCAGGAAGAAGGCCUUCGGGUUGUAAACUGCCUUUGUACGGAACGAAACGGUCUGGAUUAAUACCCUGGGCUAAUGACGGUACCGUAAGAAUAAGCACCGGCUAACUACGUGCCAGCAGCCGCAGUAAUAC